CCUCCUUAUGAUGAUGUUGGCCUCUUCGUGAGGUCGGCCUCCUCAUGAGGUUGGUCUCGUGAUGAUGUCGGCCUUUGAAGGGAAGGAAAACUGUUUGUCUUCGAGUAGUCCAGGUUGCAUCUAAAAUUUUUUUAUUAAUCUACAUGAAUAAGAAUCAAAUCUUUAUCUGAUUAGAAGCAGAACUAGAGAUCAAAUCUUCAAAAAUCUAAAAUAAUCAUUUGUAGAGGUCUGGAUGUGCAGACCCUUUACUUCACAUACAUGCCAGACAC
rnacentral:lncRNA from 1 species